rnacentral:lncRNA from 1 species
AUACUGCCUCAAAAAGGCAAUCUCAUGCUCCGCCCUGUUCUUCUUCUUGACCCUGCACUAGCAAAAGCUCUGAAGCUGGUACACAAACUCAUUAACCAUGCCCUAGAACCACGGGUUUGUCAACUGCAUGUUGACCAUUCAUGUAACACCACCUGGAACAAAGAUGUGACGGUAGAGAUAGGAUCGAAUACAUCAGACCAACUCAGCUCAGUUUUGAACUCAACAGAACCUUCUUAUCAUUUCUAUCUUCAACUCUGUCAUUCCCUGGACUUCAGAGUACACAACCAGAUCCUCCUCCAAUAGGGGAUAUGUGCGUCUCCAUUCUAAAUAAAAAUUGCCAGAACAGUGAGGAUGAACCACUAGAUUGUUGUUAUUUCAUAUCACUGGUUUCAUAUAGUUGUUCGUUAUGCAACUUCUAGAUGUUCCAAUCUGUACAGAAAGGCACUGGAUUCUCCAAGCCAAAGAUUUAGCAAAUGGGUCCUUGAUUAUGCUCAUUGAGGAUAUCAAGUGGGCCAUUAAAAACUGCAAAGAGAGAGUACAAUGCCCAAAGUAAUUUCAUCAGGCUCAUAUAUUUCACUCAGCAUUCUUUGGAAAAUUCUCAACCCUUCAUGAUAAUCCCCAUUCUUGAGCGUAGCAAGAGACCAUAGCUUUCCCUGUCCAAAAGGCCAACUAGUUGUCCUUUGUGGUAGGUUCAACACCAUUUUCAACUUCUCCAUUGUAUCAAGGGAUAACUAGCACAUGGGAGUAAUGAUACGAUAGAUGGUGAAUGGGUGGCACGAAAUAGAUAAAGCAGACAUGAUGCAUAUUUCGAAACCCUCUAUGGACCACACUUUAAAGUCUCUAUGAUAUUUUGAAGCAUAGCUACUCGGUUAUGAUCUCCAACCUUGAUGCAAGAUGCUAAACCAGGCUCAAGCUACUCAAAAUGCUCAUCGAGUACUCUUUAGAGACCAAGCCUUUAUAAUCACAGCUUUCACUCCCUGGGUUUGCACUCUCAGAUGAAGAUGCACCAACCAAAGCACACCACAGACAAACACCAAAAUAAUAGAGAAGUAUAGAGAGGAAAACUGAUAAAACAGAGCAGGAGUUGGUGAAAUGAGAGUUUAUUAAGCAAAGCUUGGUUUCAUGUGUUAUCAACAGGCUUACAAGCUAGUGGGAGAGAGAAUGGAUUUAGGGUGAAAUGAUAGGAGAGUGACCUUCAGACAUCACACAACAAAGUUGGACCAAAUUCAUAUUAUUUCUCUAAACACAAACAAAGAAGCAACAUAUGGAUAUACAGUCAUAGUGAAUCCAGUGGAAACACAGAAAUCAACAAGAGUAGCCAUAUGAUAUCCACACACAAAUAGCUAAAUAAUACCCAACAAUAAACAAAGGAGAGCGAAUAGCAAGAGAAUAAUGGAGAUAGAUAAUAAACAUACCUGAAAAUGCUCCUCUCCAGCUUCUUUUUCAAUUUCUCUAGUUCUCUUCUUUAUUUCAACUCCUGUUAUCUUUGCUGCUGUAGACACCUAUCUCUCCUCUCAACAUUCUUCUUCCUCCAGCUAUCCUCCUCAAGCUCUCUCUAAACCCUGCACCUCUCACUCUGGUUCUCUCAUCUCUCAAACCUCCCUUAUGUUCUUAUUCUCUUGCCCAAAAGACCUACACUCCUUUGCAACCUCCCCGUGACCACCUUUAGAGAAAAAAACCCAGAAAAUACUUCUACGUUCCUCCCCUCUCUUCCUAACUUUCUCUCCAAGCUACUCUUAUUACCCU